AAUACACAGCUGCCUAUUAACGAUGGAACCAAAUGAGUUGAAUAGAUUAUCAAAGAGCAACAGCCCCGAUUCUACUCUGAGGUUUGUGGAUGAUCCUUCCUGGGCACCAACUCUGUGCCAGAUACUGGGGACAGAAAGGAGAAGAAAUCGAGAUGAAAUAGAUACAGAGCCUUGCUGUUGUGCCAGAGGUCAAACCCCCUCCCUCACCACACAAGCUGCAAUACUUUAUAUGUGGUCGAAUUGCAAUAAAUUCUUCCUUUUCACAGACCACAGUUCUCACUGGGCAUCAUUAUGUGUCUUAUAAAUAGAACAAGUUUGGAAUUACCUUGGAAAAACAGUAUAUUGGAACUGGAAGAACUUACUGCUGUGUGACCAAUUUCUUCA
rnacentral:lncRNA from 1 species